CCCUUAGAUGUUCUGGGCCGCACGCGCGCUACACUGACGGAUUCAACGAGCUUACAACCUUGGCCGAAAGGUCUGGGUAAUCUCCAAAAUCCGUCGUGAUGGGGAUAGAUUAUUGCAAUUAUUAAUCUUCAACGAGGAAUGCCUAGUAAGCGCAAGUCAUCAGCUUGCGUUGAUUACGUCCCUGCCCUUUGUGCACACCGCCCGUCGCUCCUACCGAUUGAAUGGUCCGGUGAAGCGUUUGGACUAUGGUUUUCUGAUGGUCCGCCGUUGGAUUACCGUGGGAAGUUCGUUAAACCUUAUCAUUUAGAGGAAGGAGAAGUCGUAACA
rnacentral:rRNA from 1 species